AUUUUCCAGCACAUCAAAGCCAUACCGGAAAAUGUGAAGUUACACAGAUGUCAAGUACUGUACCGAAAUCACACAAUUGGAGUGCUCUUCUUCUAGAUGGACGCGCGAGGGGAAGAAAACAACGGCAGAGUUCAGGUGAAGGCAUGGAGAUCAAUAAGAUAUCGUUCCUAGUCAUGCAAUCCUACUCUUCGCCGGCCAAGCAUUAUACGCCAUUAUUUUAAGCCUGUGCAUGCACUAUGUGCGAGGCACGCUGCUUUCUAGCAGUUGGACACGUGCGAUUCACUAGAAAUCAGAUUCUUUAUACCACAUGUGGGUGCCUUUCGUCACAAUCUGAUGGUAAUCAACGUGUUGCGUAUUCCAACAUUUCACGAAUAGCAACGAAUUACACUGUAGCCCAUCAAUUUGGAUGUCAUUGAGAGGUGGGAGCGAUGUGACGUGGUCUGCAAACUGAGCAGUGCACGAUUUUUUGGUGGAGCGGAUGAGGGAGGGGAAUGCGUGAAAGCAAUGGAUGUUUGAGAAGAGGGCGAAGGAAUACUAUGGCGAUGAUGAACUGUACGCGAGUGGACUUACGGAUAUGCUCUGAAGUGCUGGAGCGGGUGGGAGGAAGAAGUAGGUGGGUCUGGAUGUGAGGUGUAGGGUUCAGGCCGUCGAAAUGGAUUUCAGGAUUAGCGGGAUUGAACAAGGUGUGUGACGAUUCUUCGUGUCGCUUUGCAUUUUAAACAGUUUAGGAGAUUACCAAUCAGUCUAAGCCUUUUUCGUGGAAGACGUGGUCAAUCGUGGAUUGACCUAGUUAUUCCUCUUCGUCAGAGUUUCGCUAGCAUUGUUGGCAAGUCUGUCACAGUGAAAGAUUCUGCACUGCGAGGUGGGAACUCAUCCUCCACUCCAUCUCUGCUACCUCUUUCGGAUUCAUGGGAAGAAUAAGUUUUGUCUAUGUCAGGCUUGUUGGGCGUCUCGACAUGCUCCGACACGGUUUGAGUGGAGAACAAUGCCGUCAGGAAUGAGUCGGCGUCCAUUUCUUCACACCGAUUUCGGAAGCCAGGUCUUGGGUUCCUCAACUGAUAGCCGCUGGCAUGGGUUGGCCCUAGUUUACAUUAUGACCAUGUAGGAAUUCCAGUUUGGUUACAGGCUGGGAGCUGGUUGGAGAUGCGUUGAAAAAUAUUAAAGAUAGCUGUGCGUCAAUCGUGGUUCAUGGCACAAUAAUUCUGGAAUGGACCCCGCGUUUGAUGUCACACUGGUGAGUCACAGCCCAGAUACCAAGGUCAACGGGUCGUAAAGGGGCUUUUUCUUCAUCUUGUGAGUUGUACUCGCUUCUGCAGGCGAAACAUGUCUUCCCGUCACUUACUUCGGCAUAAUUAAGCACAAGCUUCCGAAGCUGGAGCGUAUUGCGAUGCGCUUAUCAUCAGUUAGUGUUGAUAUUUGUUGCAGGUUAGCCCAGUUUCUGUCUCCAUAGAUGGUGCCAUUUGAGCGAGUCGAAGCACACAAACAUGAAGACGAAGCUGAGGACUAUUUCGAUAACCGACGGUGGCCCGCCACAACAGUUGAACGAAUCUCGCUUCAAAUACGUCUCUGCUUGUAGGAUUAUUCUGCAAUUCGUAUUUUGUAUCGCAAGUAUUAUUCUUGGUUUCCGAACUUCAGAGGAAAUCUCCCUCGUAGUGUUUCAAUUUCGCCAUGUGGAAGACGCACUUAGCUUUAACUGGUUCGAUCGAGGGUCCAGACGCGUCGUGGGCUUAACCGUAGCGAAGGGCGUCAGUGACCUGAGCUUAUCAGGCUCCUCGGAUUCUUUGGUAGAGCCAGAGGAGGCGACAUUUAGUAGCUUGCCACAUCUAGAUGCAAGGCUUCCUGGGCCGUUAGCUGGCUCGGUGAAGCCCACAAAUUGGUCGACGAGCACAGGGGUUCAAGUGGGUCGCCACAAGAUAUUGAUACGGGAAUGGCCGCACCCAGACCCCGUAGAAACGAUGAAGGCACACAAUUUGAUCGCAAGGGUGCAGCUGGAACAGGAGCGGUUGCACGGCGUCCCAAACUGGAAACCGGUGAUUGUGAUUACACCUACGUAUGAUCGCAUGUUCCAGGCCGUGUACUUGACAGGCUUGAUGCACACAUUGUCCCUCGUUCGGGGCCCAGUAACGUGGAUUGUCAUAGAAGCAGGGGGGAAAACGUCGAGAACAGCAGACCUGCUUGCUCAAGCUCGUGUAGAUAAUGUAGUCCAUUUGGAACACUCUAAAUCCAUGCCAGUAUACUUCGAAUCCCGUUGGAUCAUGGAGUCUCAUCUAAGAGUCGAAGCACUGAGAUUUGUGAGGAAGAAGAAGCUGGAGGGUGUCGUCGUCUUUGCCGAUGAUAGUAAUGUUUACAGUAUGGAAUUUUUCAACUUAAUACAGAAGGUGGAGUGGGUGGGCGUUCUUCCACUGGGCGUGCUCGGUUAUGCUGGAUUUCAAGACACCAGCAAGAAAAAAAGGAGGAGAAGAGGUAGUUUGUUGCUCGGCGUUGUUCACAAAGGGCAAGUUCCUCCCAAGCUUGAUCUCCAAGUCCAGACGCUUACCCGAAACUUGGACGGGGCUCUUCAUGGCUGGCACGCACACAGACCUCUACCGUUAGAUUGGGACUCAGGGAAAGGAUCCACAGUGUUAGACGAUAGGUUGCAAUGGGCAGGUUUUGUAUUGAAUGCACGAGCAGUUUGGGCACCAGAGACUGUGCGACCACAAUGGCUGAAAGGAUGGCAGGAUUGGGCUCGGUUGGAAGAAGGUGUGUAUCUUGACUUGAGAUCCAUCUUCAACGACGAAACUCAUGUAGAGCCGCUUGCGGAGAACAACAUUGUGCGGCAUUGGUGGAUCCGAGCAGAAGGCCGUCCAGACUUCAAGUAUCCCUCUAGGCGAGGGUUUGUUUUCUGGCUCUCAUCCGCAGCUUUCGUGUUGUAAAGAGUGUCAGACUGUGCCGAAAACUUUGACUUCAUUUUCCUAGCAAGUGCACUUGUCACCGUAAAAUUCACUAGAAAAUGACAGCUACAGAACGAGAAGAGAGGGCAAUGUGGGCUUUCGAUUCUCAACCACAGAUUGUGUUGCCUGCAAGGAGCACUCCAUGGCGUGAAGUGGACACUAGUGGCAAAUCUGCAGCUCGGCAGGAGAAAUCCACGCCUUCAGUAUGAAGGUCAGAUGUAUGCAGAAGAAAAUUUCAUGGAUAUGGCUACACCUAGAAGCAUAAGUAUCCUAGUUUGAUGUGACGUGGUGGAUUGAUGCUUCUUUUAAACCAAGGUUCUUGCGGAUUUUGUCUUCUUGUGGGCUGAAUUUUCGCCCACAUAUUGUUUGUAGAUUGAUUGUAGUUAACAUAUUCAGCAGAAAAUCGUAGUAUGGAUGAUAUAAUACUCAGAUUUAAACCACUGAAAGGCGAGAAUAUAUUACCUGUAUCAAUAGCUGAUUACGCUUGCAAAAGAUAGUGAUUGCUAGAUGUUGCAGCAAACGAAUAGAUCUAUAAAGCUAAGUCUGAACACACUGACUAAGGAGCUGUAGGAUACUUUUGUUGUAGUUCCAUCUUCUGUAGGUUGCACAACAUUUGAGGCCUACAGGUGAGAAGUGCACAGAAUGUCACAAAUCACCUUAUGAUGUACUUAUCAUUCUUUUUAAAAAUCUCCGCUCAAAUAGUUGUACUACGUUAAAUAUCAGUGAUGAUUAAAACAGUA